GGAAGGGGCAAGCGUUGUUCGGAAUCAUUGGGCGUAAAGGGCGCGUAGGUGGUUCUGUAUGUCUACCGUGAAAGCGUACGGCUCAACCGUAUUUUGUCGGUAGAAACUGCAGGACUUGAGGCUGGGAGGGGCUGGUGGAAUUCCCUGUGUAGCGGUGAAAUGCGUAGAGAUGGGGGAGAACACUCGUGGCGAAGGCGGCCAGCUAGACCAGUUCUGACACUGAGGCGCGACAGCGUGGGGAGCAAACAGGAUUAGAUACCCUGGUAGUCCACGCUGUAAACGAUGGGCACUAGGUGCCGGCGGUCUUGAUCCCGUCGGUGCCGGCGCUAACGCAGUAAGUGCCCCGCCUGGGGAGUACGGUCGCAAGGCUGAA
rnacentral:rRNA from 1 species